AAGUUAAUAUGUUGAACCCUCACACAGCUUUGAGACCAAGCUCUGCCAGAUCUUCUCAGACCUCAAUGCAACAUACAAGACGAUACAGGGUCACCUCCAGUCAGAGAACUUCAAGCAACGGGUGAUGUCGUGUUUCCGUGCGUGGGAGGACUGGGCCGUGUACCCAGAUCCCUUCCUCAUCAAGCUACAGAACAUCUUCCUGGGUCUAGUCAACCUGUCGACUGAGAAGGAGGUCCCCACUCCCAACACAGUAGAGAAACCACUGUUUGAACAUCUGGCCCCUGGUCUGUUGGCCCAGCCUGAGCCAGUGGAGGACAUCGACGGGGGCCCCCCAUCGGGGAAGAC